UACGGGGGGGGUAAGCGUUGUUCGGAAUUACUGGGCGUAAAGGGCUCGUAGGCGGCCAACUAAGUCAGACGUGAAAUCCCUCAGCUUAACUGGGGAACUGCGUCUGAUACUGGAUGGCUUGGAUCCGGAAGAGGGAUGCGGAAUUCCUGGUGUAGCGGUGAAAUGCGCAGAUAUCAGGAGGAACACCGGUGGCGAAGGCGGGUCUCUGGGCCGAUACUGACGCUGAGGAGCGAAAGCGUGGGGAGCGAACAGG
rnacentral:rRNA from 1 species